rnacentral:rRNA from 1 species
UACGUAGGGUGCGAGCGUUAAUCGGAAUUACUGGGCGUAAAGCGUGCGCAGGCGGUUUUGUAAGCCAGAUGUGAAAUCCCCGGGCUCAACCUGGGAAUGGCAUUUGGGACUGCAAGGCUUGAGUGCGGCAGAGGAGACUGGAAUUCCUGGUGUAGCAGUGAAAUGCGCAGAUAUCAGGAAGAACACCCGUGGCGAAGGCGGCUCUCUGGGACGGUACUGACGCUGAGACGCGAAAGCGUGGGGAGCGAACAGG